CAGCGAAUUUGAUAACUAAGGGAAGGAAUGUAUUAUGUGAAUCCGUGUCAAAAGUCGUUUUUUGUUUAAUUUUGAGCAUUUAUUUUGAUUCGACAAUAUCCAACUAUACCAACCAAAGUAUCUGUUACAGCUGGCUAUAAACUUGACCCAUUCUUGUGAAACGGGAGUACUAUUUCGAAAGUUCGUGCUGCGUCAAAAAUUGGAAGUAGAAGUGGUUAGGCAGAUGAAUAUGCAAGAUGGAGUUUAUCCUCGACUUCAUGGCCAUGGUUUUCUUCUUAAAUUUCAUCAAUAUAUAAGUUACGGAAGAGUCCAUCCAAAGGAAAGCCUUCCUUCCAUAAAUAUUGCGUUCUCGUACCGAAGUUAGUGAAUAGCUUGGAU